AUGAGCAAGAUAGAAAAAGAACGAGAGGGAAAGAGUGAGAAGAGUUGCUUAUCGAAGAAUUUAAACGAGAGCACACAAGUGAUACGAGAAAGAGACAAGGAAAAACUGAAUUUCUACCAUGCCUGAUGUUAUGAAGAGUAAGAGAGUGAAUGAGAGAGAGAAAAAAUAAAUAAAAAAGGAAGUUAAAAAGAGGGAUCGUCUGCUGGAGAUGACAAACAGUCUCUGAGGGCUGUGUUCUUAGUGUAAAAGGUCUAUUUCAGCUCACAGUGAGACUCAAAGGAUCACAAAAGUCGAUACAAACAGAGCGCUGUUGGGGAUCAUGACACAGACUAACUCCAAAAAGUCAGUCUAAUAAAGCCUCUUGAAAGCAGAGUGACUGAAAGCUGAGGCUUCAGACUGACAGCCACAUGGCAGCCGUGUGUGUCGAACGGGAGAGAAAGAGCAACCUGAAACAAAUGAGCUUCGGUCAUCUGCCAGCGAGUGAUCAGCAGUGUGCCUGCAGCCAGAGCAACCCUGCUGACCUCUGAGUCAUUCUUACAGCAGAUGCUAAGGUCUACAGAAAAAUGACCUUUGACUCUGGGAAGAUGUUGGAACCAGUGAUGACCAUUUCCUCUCCUCCACUCACCGGGCAACUGCUAAUACUGGCUUUCUCGACCUGAGCACUCCACUGGAAUUGAAGCAGCCUGCAGUGAGACCACUUUUCCAUUGGGUUGUGGGAUGUGAACCCGGAACACCACACGGACCCGAGUGUUUUUCCGUCCAAUAUCAGUUUCUCCUUUCCUCAGCUCAAUGUCAGA